GUGCUUGCUUCAGAAGCACACAUACCAAAAUUGGAACGAUUCAGAGAAGAUUAGCAUGGCCCUUGCGCAGGGAUGACGCCCCAAAUGAAGUUAUUUACAUUAUUUUG